rnacentral:rRNA from 1 species
UACGAAAGGUGCAAGCGUUAAUCGGAAUUACUGGGCGUAAAGCGCGCGUAGGCGGUGUGUUAAGUCGGAUGUGAAAGCCCAGGGCUCAACCUUGGAACUGCAUCCGAUACUGGCACGCUAGAGUGCAGUAGAGGGAGGUGGAAUUUCCGGUGUAGCGGUGAAAUGCGUAGAGAUGGGAAGGAACACCGGUGGCGAAGGCAGCUCACUGGCCCGAUACUGACGCUGAGGUGCGAAAGCGUGGGGAGCAAACAGG